UACAGAGGUCUCAAGCGUUGUUCGGAUUCAUUGGGCGUAAAGGGUGCGUAGGCGGCGCGGUAAGUCGGGUGUGAAAUCUUGGAGCUUAACUCCGAAACUGCAUUCGAUACUGCCGUGCUUGAGGACUGGAGAGGAGACUGGAAUUUACGGUGUAGCGGUGAAAUGCGUAGAUAUCGGGAGGAACACCUGUGGCGAAGGCGGUUCUCUGGGCAUUACCUGACGCUGAGGAGCGAAAGUGUGGGGAGCGAACAGG
rnacentral:rRNA from 1 species